GGAUGAGGUGUGGGUAGGGGUGAAAUGCCAAUCGAACCUGGAGAUAGCUGGUUCUCUCCGAAAUAGCUUUAGGGCUAGCCUCAAGGUAAGAGUCUUGGAGGUAGAGCACUGAUUGGACUAGGGGCCCUACCGGGUUACCGAAUUCAGUCAAACUCCGAAUGCCAAUGACUUAUCCUUGGGAGUCAGACUGCGAGUGAUAAGAUCCGUAGUCGAAAGGGAAACAGCCCAGACCGCCAGCUAAGGUCCCAAAG
rnacentral:rRNA from 2 species